UGGGGAAUAUUGCACAAUGGGCGCAAGCCUGAUGCAGCCAUGCCGCGUGUGUGAAGAAGGCCUUCGGGUUGUAAAGCACUUUCAGCGAGGAGGAAGGUGGUGAGCUUAAUACGCUCAUCAAUUGACGUUACUCGCAGAAGAAGCACCGGCUAACUCCGUGCCAGCAGCCGCGGUAAUACGGAGGGUGCAAGCGUUAAUCGGAAUUACUGGGCGUAAAGCGCACGCAGGCGGUUUGUUAAGUCAGAUGUGAAAUCCCCGGGCUCAACCUGGGAACUGCAUUUGAAACUGGCAAGCUAGAGUCUCGUAGAGGGGGGUAGAAUUCCAGGUGUAGCGGUGAAAUGCGUAGAGAUCUGGAGGAAUACCGGUGGCGAAGGCGGCCCCCUGGACGAAGACUGACGCUCAGGUGCGAAAGCGUGGGGCAGCAAACAGGAUUAGAUACCCUGGUAGUCCACGCUGUAAACGAUGUCGAUUUGGAGGUUGUGCCCUUGAGGCGUGGCUUCCGGAGCUAACGCGUUAAAGUCGACCGCCUGGGGAGUACGGCCGCAAGGUUAAAACUCAAAUGAAUUGACGGGGUCAUAGCUG
rnacentral:rRNA from 1 species